GGGGGCGGAGGGCAGUGCCUGCCUGUGCUGGCCCCACGGUCAGAAAGCUCCCCUAAAAAGUGGGAGAAUCCGAUCUUCGCGCCGUGCAGGAGCACGCAGACCACUGGAGACAAAGUGAGAAGACAGCUGUCUACAGGCAGGAAGAGGGCCUCCACCAGGAGCCAAGUUGGCCGGCACCUUGAUCUUGGACUUCUCCGCCCCGAGAGCUAUCCCUUCUCAACCUCUCAGUCAAUGGAAGCCUCUCUGGACUUCACAGCCUAGUUUGGUGCAGCUCCAGUUUGCAGUCACUCACGGUG